GAACCUUCUCCCAAUAUUAGGUCUAGAACACAGCACACAAAAGUUAUUUGCAGAUCCCUCUUUUGUGCAAAACUGCAAAUACUUUCUCCUUUUCUCAUUUCAGAUCCCUUUCUCCUUUUCUCUUUUGCUUUCCUCUCAAAUCAAAGAAAUAAUAUGACACUCAGUAGCUUGUGAUCUUAAUUCUUAGCCAUUGUUUGCCUUUUCUCAUUUCAGAUUUAUCACAGAGCAUUCGGAUCUUAUGAUCUUAGGCUACAGGCUACAAGACUCAACUUUACACUGUGGUGCAAUUGUUUUCUAGCUGGUGCAAUUGUUUUCUUUGGCUGCAAACUUUGUUUAUUUUUGCCCAGUUGCUGUAAUAUAUUGCACUGAUUUGGAUUUUUGCCCAAUCUUCAAGCUGCAGUGAUUCCUUUCAGUUGCUGUAGCAUAUUGCACUGAUUUGGAUUUUUGUUUUUGCUACAUUGACAUUUUAUGGCCAUUUGACAUUUUAGUUAUAUUAUAAAGUUAAAACUUCAAAGCCUUCAUCUUAUAUGUUGAUAUUUUGUACUAGAAUUUUUUUUAAGAAGCACUGCUCUGUGCUUUUCAUUAGAUACUAUGAAAAAUCCGAGAAACCCGAAAAAACCCGAAAACCCGAAAAACCCGAGAAAAAUUGAUAUCCAAAAACCCAACUUUUAUUGGUUUGGUUUGGUUUAUAGAUUUAAUAACCCGACACAAAUGGUUUGGUUUGGUUUAUAAAAAAUCCGAACCAACCCGGUCCAUGUACACCCCUACAUCUACCUAUUUGCCGAAAAAAGAAAUAGACAUAUAGAUCUGCCCACUUCUAAGUUUUCUCUUCAUGGUCAUUCUACCUCUUCCUCUGAAUCUGUACACUGUGGAUGGUCGGCCUUUUCAGUGGCGUAGCCAGAAAUAUGGCUCGGGAUAUUCAAACUUAUAAAGUAGUAAGUAAUUUUUUCCCCCCCAAGAGUGGGUGCACCAACAUUUUUAAAUCAAAGUGCAUGAUAUUUAGCUUUGUCAUUUUCUUUUGUAGUUUAUCCUCAAAUCAUUAUCCAAACACUAAAUUUGAAAUGUGUUUUUGGGUUUCCAGUAAAAAAUAUAGUUGAGCAAAGAAAAUCACUCAAAGGAAUCAAUUAAAAAAAAUCACGGGCACUAGGAAAGAAAAAUAAUUUGCAAGGUAACAAAAGAGAAUAAGAGAACAAUAUUUCAGCAUGGAAGAAAGCUGUUGUAGUGGGAAGUUAACAUACAUGGUUUCUCGCCUUGAUAUACAAGAUAUACUAACUAUAUAUGCAUUUUUUCUUUUUUCUUUUUUUCUUUCUUUUAUCAAACUCGUCAUCUGUUUUGUUCAUCACUGAGGAUAAUAACUAUGCAUCAAUAUCAAACAAGUCAUUCUGCUUGUAUGAUUGCUUAAUAUUGCUAACGCAAUCUGCUUUACAGAAACAUUAGCGAUGGCCCCGAGAUCGCGAAGGAUGAGAUUAAUAUAUGGUUUAAACCAAAGGAGUUGGUUAAGUACACAAGCAAUUCAGAGAAGUGAGUUUAUGGUGAAAACUAAGUUAACGUUUAACGUAUUUUGCCUUAAUUUAAAUUGCCAUUAAAUAGGCAUGAAGAGUAGCAAACUCAAAAUUAUCAGAAUAAAUCGGAUGCCACUUUUUCCAUGGGCAAGUAAAAACUUUAUAUUUAGUUUAGUGUUACUUGAAUCACCACAAUAAUUUGUACUGAA